UUUGUUAUUACCCUAUGAAGGAAUUUGUUGUUUUUCUCUGAUUUACAGAUCAAUCAGUGAUACUACAGCCUUGAAAGAAAAUUCAAGAAUACAGAAAACAGACAUCGUAAGAAGCAAGGUUACUCCUUUCAUCAGUAACUGAAAGGAAUGAAAAAUGAUUGUAUGGAUUCACGUUACUUGGCUUCAGGUACCCUAUUUGUAAAGAAACAGGUUUAUUAUGUCUGGCAUGUUCAGAAAACCCAGGAAAGACUUCCCAGCAACCUGCAGGGUUUACGAUGCAUUAUGUUACCACAGCAUUCUUCCAAAACUCUCCUUCUGGAAUUGAUUUGUCUAGAGACCGACUGGCUUCUUUAAAAUCAAAAGCAAUGAGAAUCAAGAAUUUAGGAGCAGUAUGGCUGAGUGGUUCCAACUUGAGGUUCCCCAUGAAAUUGCAGGUAGGUGUCAAAUGGGGCAACUGUCAUUUGAAA
rnacentral:lncRNA from 1 species